rnacentral:tRNA from 1 species
CCUGGUGGCUCAGAGGGUAAAGCGUCUGCCUGCAAUGCAGGAGACCUGGGUUCGAUUCCUGGGUCAGGA